AGUGAACGCUGGCGGUAGGCCUAACACAUGCCAGUCGAACGGCAGCACAGGAGAGCUUGCUCUCUAGGUGGCGAGUGGCGGACGGGUGAGGAAUACAUCGGAAUCUGCCCAGUCGUGGGGGAUAACGUAGGGAAACUUACGCUAAUACCGCAUACGACCUUCAGGUGAAAGAGGGGGAUCGCAAGACCUCUCGCGAUUGGAUGAGCCGAUGUCGGAUUAGCUAGUUAGCGGGGUAAUGGCCCACCAAGGCGACGAUCCGUAGCUGGUCUGAGAGGAUGAUCAGCCACACUGGAACUGAGACACGGUCCAGACUCCUACGGGAGGCAGCAGUGGGGAAUAUUGGACAAUGGGCGCAAGCCUGAUCCAGCCAUACCGCGUGGGUGAAGAAGGCCUUCGGGUUGUAAAGCCCUUUUGUUGGGAAAGAAAUCUUUCAGGCUAAUACCCUGGGAGGAUGACGGUACCCAAAGAAUAAGCACCGGCUAACUUCGUG
rnacentral:rRNA from 1 species